UGGGGAAUCUUGCGCAAUGGGCGAAAGCCUGACGCAGCAACGCCGCGUGGGGGAUGAAGGCUCUCGGGUUGUAAACCCCUUUCAGCAGGGACGAAUCAAGACGGUACCUGCAGAAGAAGCUCCGGCUAACUACGUGCCAGCAGCCGCGGUAACACGUAGGGGGCAAGCGUUGUCCGGAUUUAUUGGGCGUAAAGAGCUCGUAGGCGGCUGAGUAAGUCGGAUGUCAAAUACCCAGGCUCAACCUGGGUCUCCACCCGAUACUGCUCUGGCUAGAGUCCGGUAGGGGAGCGUGGAAUUCCUGGUGUAGCGGUGAAAUGCGCAGAUAUCAGGAGGAACACCAGCGGCGAAGGCGGCGCUCUGGGCCGGAACUGACGCUGAGGAGCGAAAGCGUGGGUAGCAAACAGGAUUAGAUACCCUGGUAGUCCACGCCGUAAACGUUGGGCACUAGGUGUGGGGUCUUUCAACGGUAUUCCGUGCCGUCGCUAACGCAUU
rnacentral:rRNA from 1 species